UUGGUUUUUUGGUUUUUUUUAUGCCUUGCAAGUAGUUUUCUUCAGACUCUCGAAGAUGGUUUUUUAGGAUUUUUGUUCUUUUUA
rnacentral:sRNA from 1 species